rnacentral:rRNA from 1 species
AUGGAGCUUGCCAUAUCUGCAGCAGCAGGUGAACUUAUGAGCCGAUUCAUCUCCUUCCUUACCAACAAGUACCACUCGAGCCACGAACACUCGGAAGAGAAGCAGCUGAAGAGGCUGCAGCAGCUGCUCCUGAAAGCUCGCACGGUCAUCGAGGAGGCAGACGGGCGGUACAUCACCAACUCCGGGAUGCUGGUGCAGUUCAGGAUGCUUGCGGAUGCCAUGUACCAAGGCUACUGGGCACUAGGUGCGUGCAGGUACAUCUCACUCGAAGAGUCCAUUGAGGAGGAGGGGGAGGUUCGCAAUCCAUCUGCUCCCAAACGUUUUCGCAUGGUUCAUGGAAGUGCUAGAAAGAACAAGGCCACAUACCCCGUCGACUUGCAGGGCGCGUUGGAGAGCUUGGAGGAUGUAGUCGCUGGCAUGACGGAGUUUGUUGUUCUUUUGGAUGGAUGCGACCGUAUUCUGCGUCGACCAUACGAUGCGUAUCUAUACCACGACAACAUCAUGUUCGGACGUCACACGGAGAAACAAAAGCUCCUGAACUUCAUGUUGCGGCACAACACUCCUGGUGGUGGUGCACCGGCUGUCCUUCCGAUCAUCGGUGCUUCUGAAGUCGGGAAGAGGACUCUGGUUGCCCAUGUAUGCAAGGACGAGAGGUUCAGCUCACACUUCUCUUCAGUUCGGUACCUGAGUGGAAAUUCCUUCAGUAGAAUCGCAGACCAUGGUAGUAUCAUGUCACGGAAGACACUAGUAAUUGUUGAGCUUGUUUCAGAUGUGGAGGAGGAGUAUUGGGCUAAGUUCUGCUCAUUUGUGGCGAGCAUGGGCAGUGGAAACAAGGUGAUCAUCAUCAGCCGGCUUAAAAGUACAGAGCGACUUGGAACAGUGGAGCCAAUCUUCCUCAGCACCCUGUCAUACGAGGAGUUCAGGUAUCCGGCACAGCACCUGCGGUUAGCGUGGAUAGCAGACAAGUUGGCCAGGGAAUUCCAUUCGGAAUGGUCCCUCACCGCUGCGAACAUAUUUGCAGACUUAAUGAGAAGGAAUCUGAACGUUUGUUUCUGGGCCAGCAUGCUGAGCAGGCUGAGAAGGGUCGUUGAGAGGAACCUCUCCAUGUUUGGGGAGCACCCGAGGUUCCUCGUUCAGAGAUACCACCAUAUAGAUCUUAGGGACUUCGUCUUGCAUCCCGCCGCUUCUCCGCUCCACGUCGUGCCUUCCUACACCAGCGGCAGCAGCCGCACUGAGAUUACGACGGAAAGGGAAUUGCUACCAAGGGUGAGGUUUGGGGAUCUAGUGAUGGAUCCUGGAGUUCGGCCGCAGGGGGAUUUCAAUGUGGUUGCAUGGGAAUCAAGAUUGCCGCCUUACACCUCGUUUGUUCAUUUUGUUCCAAAUGGAGAUGGUGCUCCAGGUGUGGUGGAACAGAGUACUCCCUUGUUUGGGAGGAAGCGUGCAGCGGUGCCUUUGUAA